UCAGAGCCUCCCAAAACCUCCAACAUCGAAAGGCUGGGGGACAUUUACGUAAUGCAUCCAUUCGGAUAUCCUGAACAUGGCUCGUUUUUUCAGAAGUCUUAUUCUUCUUUUAGCAACACCGGCUGUUGGUUACAUACUUAUGGUAGGAGUAUCACCUUCUGAAGACGAAACACGAAGAAAACUUAAGCAGAUGAAUGAUCCAGCUUCACAAAGAAUGAGAGAGCAAAACAAAGCAUUGAUGAAAGUAUUACAGCAACAGGCAGGCAUUACAGAUGAACAUUUGAAGAAGAAGUAAUUCAGAAAAGAAGUAAUUCAGUGGUUAAGGAUAAACAAUAGUGUUUUUUUCUAGUGUGUGCGAGUCCUGCACUUCAUGCUGUACUGCGUAGAACAGUUCCUAUUGUACAGUUAGUUUGUGACUCAUGCUGGACAUCUAUACAAGACUUGCUUUACUUAAAGGCACAAGACAUCCUGCAAUCAACGGUGGAUCCAGAGGAUGUUCACUUGCCCAUCAUAUCCUAUCCUUGUGUCAAUAAAGGCCUCCCUAUUUAUCAGAUGUAAAAUACCUCAUCAGAUCUUGACUUAUUAAAUCUUUUUUGUUAAUUGUCA